GCGGCUCGCAGCGCCCGGAGAUCCUCGGCCCGUGCGUAGGGGUGGGGAGGGACCAGCCCCGGGGCUGUGGGCAGGGAAUGUCCCCAGUCCCAUCGCUGCGAUGCUGAAGGAAUUUUGGUUCCUAUGAAACCACUGCAAAAAUAUCACCAGCCCCAAAGGGGCAGGAGGUGGAACUGGAGUUUAAACACCAGCCAGGCCAGCUUAAACGGGUUUCAAAGGUGAGAAAUGGCAGCAAACACUGGAAACUGGAGGGUUUUUUUAAAGAGUGUACGGAAAUUUGCAGGGCCUUAGCAAUAACAAGAACAAAAAUGUGUGCUGGACUCCAAAACUAAUGUGGGAUUUGCUACAAAAAGGUGUUUUUUUCCAGAUAAAUGGAGAAGCUGCUUGAGCUUUCUGCAUCAGGUCUUUGUGGCUUUAGUCUGGCUGAAGCAAAGCAAAAAUCAGUGUGUGUGUGUGAUGCAACACAACAAACUGUAUUUGAACUGGGGGAAGAGCUGGCUCCUCCAGAUAAAAUGGCAUCAGCCGUUAGAAUACGGGUGUGACUCCAGCUGCUGCUGUUGCAGAGGGUGCUGGGGAGGAAUUGUUCCCCCUCUCCCUUUAAAACCCUGAUAAGGAACUGCUGGAGCAGUAAAAUCCUGAUAGAGUGAUCAAAGCAUGCUUGAAUUGCAAAGCAGUGAUUCUUCUCUCAUCACCUCAGCCUGUGAGAUGUAGAAUUCCCAACCCCACUCUUAAGCCAUGCUGAAAUCAGUAGGAUUCCUCACCUGGAAUACCAAUGGUGGUGUGAGAACACCUGGGAGUGAGAGCCAAGGGCUCGUUGCUCAUGCAGCUCCUUUCCUUUUCAAAACCCACCCUUGCACGGACAGAAUCCAUUAAUAUUUUUAGCAAGUUUUUGUUGUGCUUUCCUAGCAACAGCCAAUUCCUUAAUGAUUAAUCCCCAAACUGUGGCAAAUCUGCAAAUUUGGGGAUGCAUGCUGAAGUCAUCUGUGCUGCCUGACGUCAGCAUUGCAUAAUCUGUUGACUGUCCCCCUUUUAUGUAAUGUAUGUUUGAGUUUGUUUUAAAAUGUGCAAAUGUUUUUUUUUCCCCUGCGUGCUGCUGCUCCCAUAUUCCACGUUUGCCUCUCCGUUGCCCUCUGGAGUUGCAAACUUGUAAGGCAGCGUUUUCACGGCUGGAUCCAGCCCAGCGUUUUGUGUUUGUCUCCUAAAAACAGCCUCGGGGACAUCUCAGCACCUUCUCUUUGCCAGGUACAGUACUGUGAUAACUGAAGGAUGGCAGCCAUCUGAGCUUCACGGCACCCUGGGGCCACCACAGCCACCUCGUCCUGCUCCACUGGAGUGUGCUCAUGUCACCUGGAACCCUUGGCAUAAAGGUCACGUUUGUUCAAUAAAAUAUUACACACUCUGCCUCGGUAUUGGCUGUUUCCUCUGGGGAGGGCUUCCUGAAGUGCUGUGCUUUGGAAGUGGUCAGGAAUGGUUCCCAAAGCAGGGUCCUGUGCUGCCUGGUGGAUAUUAAAUAACACAGAGGCCCCUUGGAGGGGGUUACUUGGUAACAGAACAAAUUAUUCUGUAGCAAUAGAGAAAAUGAAGCCCUUUUAAGAUACUUUUUAAUUUUUUUUGUUAAGAUUCCACAGUCUUGGCUGGUUACUGUAACUCAGAGGUCUCUAUGUGGGAAUUAGAGGUGGGAAAUGGGUUCUUCCCAGCAGUGAGUUACUGGUGGAUCAGGGACAGCCCCUUGCAGGGUUUCCUCGGGGCUUCUCUGCUCUGUGAGUGGGAGACUGAAUUUCCUGGGUCGUUUUUUACCGCGAUGUCAUCAAAAUCCCUGGAAAUGAGGUGAUUUUCAGGGGGCCUGUGCUGAUCUUUGUGCCGUGUGAGUUAACCCUGCAGUGCUGGGACCCGACAGCAGAGGGGCCCCGCGGGCCGGUUUGUGAUGGGACUGUGAAAUCCCGAGAUUUUUGCAUAAAGUAACCGGAAAGCUGCAGGAAUGUCGGUGCAGUGCCCGUUUCCCAGAUUCCUGCCCUUCCCCGAGGAGCUGGUGGCAUUCAGGCUGCCGAGGCUGAUGCAGCACUUUGCAGAGGUCACUGUUUGCCCUCCAUCCUGACAUUCAGCGUGGUCAUUGACCCAAUGGUGUUUAGAAAUUCUACUUUCUGGGCUGGAUAAUUCUUGUCCAGCAGGGCUUUGCCCUGUGCUUCCCUGCUGCUCGGGGGACAGGACAGGGAUUAGCCCCAAGAUGGUAAAAAGAUGCUUUUUCAUUCCCCUGCUGCUCACUGGAAGUUUUUGGGGCCAGCCUGGUGGGGUCAGGGCUGUGCAGCCACUGAUGGAACGUUUUGCCAGCCUGUGUCACUUAAAGGGGAAAUUCUUCCUGGUGCUGGGACAGAGGCUCGAGGCUGCGUCUGGAGGAGGGCUCUGUCUCACCAGAAACUGCAAACAAUAAAAAAACACAUCCUGCUACCAAGAGUUUAAAUUCUGGAUUAAAAUCUGAGCAGAGUCAACCCUCAGCUCCCACUUUGCAAAGGUUACAGGCACCUCUUCCAGGCAGGAAUGUGCUUAUCCCAGAAAGGAGCAGUGCUCAUCUCUGUGCUGGCUGUCCCACAGCACUGCUGUGCUGCUCCUCCCUGUGCCACCUGCAUUCCAGGAUGGGCAGGAGAGGGAGGAGCUGGGGGAUCCUGGCCAUGGGAGCAUUUGAAAGCUGCCCAGGGCUCUCUCUUUACCCAUUUCAGGUGCUCAGGGAAUGUGCAAUCCCUUUCCUGGCAGAAAGGCAGUGCAUCCAGCCAGGUGCUCGUGGUGCUGCCCCAGGCACAGCUCCAGGUGCUCCCUGAUAGGAACAACCUGGUGACUCCCUAUAGAAACCAUCAAGUUCUUUCCUGCCCACAGAAAGCAAGCAGCCAUGUGGUCCUGCUGACUCCAUUCAACCAGCACAGCUGGACUGGGGCACUCAGCUCAUCCUUCAUGACAAAAAUUUCCACUUUCCUCCAGAUCUGGAGCUUGUUUGCCAUCCUGCCUGGAUUUCUGAACCCUCUGGGCCAUUAUGAACAACACCCGUCCUGGAAACACAACCUUAAUUCCCAAUCUCCUUAUGAGAGAGGAAGGGGGAAUAUGGUAAACCCCACCUCAAAAUGCUGCUUUUUAACCCAGAGUGAGGAAUUGUCAUUUCCAAAAGCACACAUGAGGAAAACAGCAGUAGCAGAGUGAGCUUUGGAAUUUGUCCAGGCGUUAAAGAUUUUAGGAAUGCUACGUGCUCUGUGUCACAUGUGUCCCCCUGAAUGGGACAGGGAACCUGGACCGUGCUGGGCAUGACCUGAGAAAUGCCUCAGCCAGCUACACAAACUCUGGGCUGUGUGGACAGAGAGGGACAUGAUCAAUAUUGGAUCAUUUUGGUGACAAACGUGACAUUUCCCAUCUGAAAACAUUUAAUUAUUGCUCAGGUUGAGGUCACUGCUGUGCUUUGUGCCUCCCCACCAGCACACUCCAUUUCCAAACUCGCCCUUAUAAAACCCAGCUGUUGCACAUCCAACUUUUUCUGGGAUAUAUAUAUAUAUAUAUAUCUCCCAGAAAAAAAAAUCUCCAUAUAUAUCCAUAAAUACCCCCGUGGAUGUGGAGCCAGUCCAUGAGAGCAGCAUUGUCUAGCCCCAGUGGUGUGGCUGGCAGGCAGCCAGGCAGCAAGUGGGUACCUGUGAGCUGUGCCAGCAGCAAGCUCAUCCUUCUGGAAAGGGCUGUGCUGGGAAGUGGGUGAGCUCAAGAAAAUGCAUUUGAGCUUCUGGGCACUAUUGAUUUGUCUUGAUGUAUUUUAUUCAUCUGCUUGAAGCACAAUGAAAACGUGCUGGUGGAAUGAGUCGGAGUUCAGGGGAGGGGGAGCCAGAAGUGGGGUUUGGAGCUGGCCGCCAUCACCAUCUUCCUCCUCUGCAGCUGCUCCAGAGCUCUACACAAACCCAGUUUCUGCUUCCCAGCAAGGCAGCAGAAGGGAUAUCUUUCAGCAGAGAAAUCUGGGGAGAAAAUGAAAAUAAAACUGGUUUGGUUGGGGUAAGAACAAUGAAGAAGCAGAGAGAUGGCAACGGGAAAAGCAGUCAGUGAAGGCAAGCAGCGACACGAACGCGCCUGCUGCAGGGCUGGGACACGGCAGCAGCACCUUCCCAUGCCCAGCUGGGAGCACAGGGAGUGAACUCAUCCCCCAGGCCAGGAAAGCCGGGAAUUGAGCUCCUGUUGCACCUCCCAGCCCCGGCUCUGGCGCUGCUGGAAAUGCCCUGCAGCCCCUGGGAACCAGGGCACCUCAUCUAUCUCUGCUCUGCAAGGAGCCCUGCACCACUGACAUGAAGGGCUCUCCUUCCCCAAACUGAGAUUGUUAGCUGUAAAAACAGGCUUGGGCACCAUGUGAUGUUGUAGUGUGUUG